rnacentral:rRNA from 1 species
UACGAAGGGGGCUAGCGUUGCUCGGAUUGACUGGGCGUAAAGGGCGCGUAGGCGGUUCGUACAGUCAGACGUGAAAUUCCUGGGCUCAACCUGGGGGCUGCGUUUGAUACGUGCGGACUUGAGUUCGGAAGAGGGUCGUGGAAUUCCCAGUGUAGAGGUGAAAUGCGCAGAUAUCAGGAGGAACACCAAUGGCGAAGGCAGCACUCUGGGACGUGACUGACGCUGAGACGCGAAAGCGUGGGGAGCGAACAGG